CGGUGUUUAACUGGCGUGAUGUGGGACGUCCUACCGGUGGGCUUAGCCUCGCGAGGGGCGGCCCAACUAAUAUCCCGUCGCGGUGCUCUUUACUGAGUGUCGAGUCGGGCCGGUACGUUUACUUUGAACAAAUUAGAGUGCUUAAAGCAGGCUAUCCUCGCCUGAAUACUGCGUGCAUGGAAUAAUGGAAUAGGACCUCGGUUCUAUUUUGUUGGUUUUCGGAACCCCGAGGUAAUGAUUAAUAGGGACAGAUGGGGGCAUUCGUAUUGCGACGUUAGAGGUGAAAUUCUUGGAUCGUCGCAAGACGGACAGAAGCGAAAGCAUUUGCCAAAAAUGUUUUCAUUAAUCAAGAACGAAAGUUAGAGGUUCGAAGGCGAUCAGAUACCGCCCUAGUUCUAACCAUAAACGAUGCCAGCUAGCGAUCCGCCGAAGUUCCUCCGAUGACUCGGCGGGGCAGCUUCCGGGAAACCAAAGCUUUUGGGUUCCGGGGGAAGUAUGGUUGCAAAGCUGAAACUUAAAGGAAUUGACGGAAGGGCACCACCAGGAGUGGAGCCUGCGGCUUAAUUUGACUCAACACGGGAAACCUCACCAGGCCCAGACACCGGAAGGAUUGACAGAUUGAUAGCUCUUUCUUGAUUCGGUGGGUGGGUGGUGCAUGGCCGUUCUUAGUUGGUGGAGCGAUUUGUCUGGUUAAUUCCGAUAACGAACGAGACUCUAGCCUGCUAAAUAGGCGUACCUUAUGGUAUCGCGAAGGCCCCCGGCUUCGGCCGGUGGGUUUUUACUACCAACGUACAAACAAAUCUUUUUAGAGGGACAGGCGG
rnacentral:rRNA from 1 species